rnacentral:rRNA from 1 species
AAUGAACGCUGGCGGCAUGCCUUACACAUGCAAGUCGAACGGCAGCAUGAUCUAGCUUGCUAGGUUGAUGGCGAGUGGCGAACGGGUGAGUAAUGCAUCGGAACGUGUAUUUUAGUGGGGGAGAACGUAGCGAAAGUUACGCUAAUACCGCAUAUUCUCUGUGGAGGAAAGCAGGGGACCUUCGGGCCUUGCGCUAGAAGAGCGGCCGAUGUCGGAUUAGCUAGUUGGUGAGGUAAAGGCUCACCAAGGCAACGAUCCGUAGCGGGUCUGAGAGGAUGAUCCGCCACACUGGGACUGAGACACGGCCCAGACUCCUACGGGAGGCAGCAGUGGGGAAUUUUGGACAAUGGGCGCAAGCCUGAUCCAGCCAUGCCGCGUGAGUGAAGAAGGCCUUCGGGUUGUAAAGCUCUUUCGGCUGGGAAGAAAUCGCACCCUCUAAUACAGGGUGUGGAUGACGGUACCAGCAUAAGAAGCACCGGCUAACUACGUG